UAAAUCAUCAUAUUGAAGUCAACUUGUCGGAAUGAUAAAGAAAAAGUUUUUGAUUACGAUGUCGACUUGUUAAUAUAAAUGUAAAUGACAUAAAAUAAGAAGUCGACUUGUUUAUUAAUUAAGUCAACUUGCUUAUUUGAUGUUAACUUUAUUCGUUCUCACGGUCAGAUUCCCACGGUCCGUAUUUUACUUCCUGUGCUGACACAUUAAAGAUGGAGAUCGACAGCAACAACAUCAGCGGGAGCAGUGGAAACGAGUCAUAACUGCUUGGUCACCUGCCCGUCUAAUAAAUGGUCAAAGACUAUGGAAGCAAGCAAUAUUUUAAAGUUACUCUGUUGUCUCCUUUGUGUUGCUGAUCAUGACGUUACAGGAAUACCUUACCCAGGCGAUGAUGCUUCUGUGCCUGAACUAGUCCAAUACUAUCAUCAAUUAUGCUACACGUCCCUUCAAAUAUGUGGAUUUCUUUUGUUUGUUCACGGAACAUUCAUGAGUUGUUCCAUGUUAAAAAGACUUAAGAGAAGAUUAAAUAUCAGACGGCGUAACAACCAGUCGCCAUUACCUACAGUUGUAAGGACAAUCCUGGCUUUACACCGUA